rnacentral:lncRNA from 1 species
GCCUUCCAACUGAGAAUGGAGAAACAUUCCCGAUUUCACAGGGCACGUGGAAUCAGAGGGUAUGCCUCAUGACUCAUCCCUCCUCUAGAAGGGAGCUAAGAGGCAACUGAACAUCCACCCAGGACUGCAACUCAAGAUUGUGGAAGCAAGAGUUCUAAAUACCUCUUCAGUAGGUUAUGCCUUUCCCAGAAGGACUGAUCUCAAAGCACAAUUUCCAAGAAUGCUAUUACCAGAAAAAUGGGGACUUUUAACCAACUAUAUACUGUAGAAGAGUGGAACAUGAGGGUCUCAAGAAUUCGAGUGUUUAUGAAGUACCACGAAUGGGCUCAGCUACUAACAUACUUGAUGCUGCUCAGAAUGCCAGUCCUUUGAAAAUCUGUGAAGUAGAAAGUUUGCCCUUGGUGCCCCUAAAUCUCUUGACUUCAACCUCCAUUCCUGGAAUGUUACCUUUCCUAUGCCUGAGGAAAGUCAUCCAGUUUUACCGGGCGAGGUCUUGGGUGUACUCCUUGGAGAAGACUCGAGAGCUUUGUAUGAAAGCAGGAAGCCCGUCUCAUCACCAGGGAUGCAGCAGCUCACUGCGGUUUGGAGUCACCAGACUCAGCUUUGCCUCACUCAGAGAGGAAAAUAAUCAGAUAAAUCUGAGAAAUUGAGCCAUGGUGAAAGUAAAUAAGAUGUGUUUGGCUGCAAGUCACAGAAAUCCUGGAAAACAAUGGCUUAAAUAUUAGGACUGUAUAUUAUCUCACUUAACAGGAAGUCCAAAAGUAGAAGCACCCAUGUGGUUCUGUGGUUCAAGGUAGGGGGCAACCUGUCUACAAUUCCUGUUCUUCCUUCCUGUGUUUGACAGUAUCACCCUAGAUUGUAGCCACUUAAAUGCAAACUUGUUGACACAGAUUCAAGUAUCAAAUCCUCUCUCAAAGUCUUCUAAGAACAAUAUGAAGGGUAACAGGAAAAGUGCUUUGUUCUAUCUCUAGCUCCAUUUUUGGUCUAGAAGAAAAACUUUUCCAGAAAUCCUUCAGUAGACUGAGUCAUAUAUGCCCACAACUUCACUGACAAAAAGUAGCUGAGAUUUUUUUUUUACAACAUGAAACAAACUAUUAUUAUCCCUGAGGCUUGGAACAUUCAUACCCAAACAAAAUCAAGGCUCUGUUAGUAAGGAAAAGGGCUGGCAGGUAUUAGGUGGAUGAUCAUAAAUAUAUAACAAGAGGUGCCAGGAAUUUAAUGCAUUACUCCUUAUGAUAAAAUUUACAUUUAAAAGAGAACUGGGAUUCUUUUUAAAAGGACCUAGAAAGAAUUUCAAUUUGAUGCCAAGAUGAAGUAACAGGAACAAGAUUUACUCUCCCAUUUGAAAACAAACAAACAAAACAAACAGAAAAGCAAACAAAAAAACCAACCUGACAAACCAGAGCAACUAAAUUAAACAAUGAUUUUUAAGUUCCUGGACAUCAGGGAAGGAAGAUGGUGGGUGCUGAGGGACAAGAAACAAAUGAUAUGAGAAAAAUGCUGGAGAAAGACUGUCUGUGUAGAGACAUGAAAGGUAUAAAGAAAAUAAAAACAGAACCUCUAAAAUGUCUGAGAUGAAC